GCGAUUCGUCGAGCCGUUGCGAAGUUAUUAAAGAAACGGACGUUUAGGCUUCGUUUCCACCUGGAGGGCCGAGGCGACAUCGUAUACUCAUGAAAACGGAUUUGAAGUAUCGUGGCACAUAACCGAAAACCUUUAAUUUUCGGAUCGUGAAUUGGAGGCCGUUCGGGUGGUCGCGCGAGAGAUCGGGCCAAACCGGGUGCCGAGUGCCGCGGGAGGCCGAUUGCAAGUGUCGGCAAGCAAUCGGAAUGAGAAAUGAGGUGGGUUGUGCUCACCGAAGCGACUAAGUCGCCUAUAUGUCUAAGAGUAAUGGUUUUCUAAUUGAUGCAUAUAGUUGAUGUUACUUACUGUUGAGAUAAAAUGCAUAAUGACAUAUAAUGUGUUAAAUGCUAGAUGAAUGUAUGAGUUAAUUGUCACAUGAAUGCAUGAAAAUAAUGUUAUAGUAAUAUGUUAGAGGUAAUAUGCAUGUUGAUAAAUUAUGGAACAUGUUGGAUGGUAUAGGAAUGGUUGGUAUAUAUAUGUAGACAUAUUGUGGAAUAUGAUGAAUGAGUGCAUGUUGAUUUAUUGUAGAAUAUACUAGAUGAAUGCAUAUUGACAUAUUGUGGAUUAUGUUAAAUGACACAUGCAUGUUGAACUUGGGUCGAUAAACUCUAGGUGAAUUAGAGAACUCGAUAUUGGAAAACAAUGACAUAUGAACUAUGAUAUGUGACGUGGACAAUCUAUAUAUAUUAGAUCGAGUGCCAUAUGAUUAGUAUAGUGGAAACACUUAUGGCAUGUUGAACACUUAGAAAAUAAGUGUGGCAUAAGUCCAAGAAUAUAGUAGUGUAUAUGACACAAGUGAUAGUAAAGAAUGCAAAGAAAAGAAUGAUGGAAAUAUUAUGACAUUUCAACCCUAGAGUUAGGGUCAUUUGAGUAUAGUCUUCCUAAAGUUAAGGAAUGUAUUGAACUUGACAUCCUCAAGAUUUUGGAUUUGAUCAUUGAUCAUACUCACCUUUAGUCCUUGCUCGAGGUUGUGGUAGCUCCCCCUCGGGCGAUGUGCUCCGGAGUCGACAUCACUGGGUUGUAGCGGGUGUCUCCCCAGAGGACGGUCCCACCGGGUUGUAGCGGGUAUCUUCCCGGUUAAUGAGAUUUUGGGUUGGUGAGUUUGUUGAGGGCGAAACCUUCGGGUUAGCCAAGAGAUUGGGUAACAAGCACAUGAGCUGUAGCAAUAUCCUAGUUGAGUGGACUUAAGGCUGAGGUGCAAGUGAGACGUCCUUCGCCUCGAGCCUGGCUUUACGCGGUACUCCGCGAAUGAUUGACUCGAGACCGAGUCGGGUGGAUAGUUGAUAAAGAUAAAUGAGGCCAUAUGAUCAUGAUAUGAAUUUAAAAUAGUGGAAUAACUUCGAAGUCAAUUGAAUGAGCUUUGAAUAGCAGGAUUAAAGUAGUAUCGAUUGAACUACUAAUUGGUUGCAUAAAUCGCAUGAUUUUCAUAUUGCAUGGUUGUGAGGCAUGACAUGUAUUUCAAUUAUCGCAUACAUAUAUAUAUAUAUAUAUAUAUAUAUAUAUAUAUAUANAUAUAUAUCUGUUGGAUAUUUGUUGGACUAACAUGUUGCAGUGCCUCCUUAGACCUGUGGGUCGAGCUCUUCCCUUGGGUGGCCGCACCUACUGGAAACUAUAUUUAUAUAGUUCUCACCCCCGUGUUGUUUUUGGGGGUACAGGUUCCCACGUGAGCGGCGCGGCGGCGCGAGGCGAGGGCGUAGCUCCAUAGUUAGCGCCCUACCACCGAGACCAGAGAUAGCGGUACCCUGAGUCGGCUUUGCUUAGGGAUGUAAAGAAUAAAAAGAAUCAAUUUGCAAUAAUCAUGUUAAAUCGGAUUGUAUUUGGAAGUUAAGUGAAAGCUAGUGUAAGAAUCAAAUGAGAAUUGUGAUGUAAAAAUAUAUGAAUGUGAAUGCAUGUAAUAACAUAGGAUGUGUUAUGUUGUUUGAUACCUUCCAUUAUACAAUCUUUAAUUGAAAUGUGUUCCUGGUUGGAACUUUGUACAUUGUAUUGAUUGCGACGCCUUGAAUGUACAGGGGAGACUCUGUCCGCGGUACAAGGGAAAUCCUGUCCGUUCGGCAGUCUGUCGGCGGCGCCGCGACCCGGCCAAAUAGGCGGGCGGUCGCGGGGCGUGACAUGAUGACUAUUUUAUUCGCUGCUUCUAUUUGUCCAUUCACUUGGGCAUAAUAAGGAGACGAAUGGAGCAACUUUAUCUUUUGAGAUUCGAUGAACCGAACGAACUGUCCUCCUGUGAACAUUGCCCCUUGAUUG
rnacentral:lncRNA from 1 species